rnacentral:rRNA from 1 species
GGGGGCUGGUGAGCGGCGGAGGGUUAGUACGCGUGGGAAUAUGCCCAGAUCUGCGGAAUAGCCUCUGGAAACGGAGAGUAAUACCGCAUACGCCCUUCGGGGGAAAGAUUUAUCGGAUUUGGAUUAGCCCGCGUUGGAUUAGGUAGUUGGUGGGGUAAUGGCCUACCAAGCCGACGAUCCAUAGCUGGUUUGAGAGGAUGAUCAGCAACACUGGAACUGAGACACGGUCCAGACUCCUACGGGAGGCAGCAGUGGGGAAUCUUAGACAAUGGGGGAAACCCUGAUCUAGCCAUGCCGCGUGAGUGACGAAGGCCCUAGGGUCGUAAAGCUCUUUCGCCAGGGAAGAUAAUGACGGUACCUGGUAAAGAAACCCCGGCUAACUCCGUGCCAGCAGCCGCGGUAAUACGGAGGGGGUUAGCGUUGUUCGGAAUUACUGGGCGUAAAGCGCGCGUAGGCGGACUAUUAAGUUAGAGGUGAAAUCCCAGGGCUCAACCCUGGAACUGCCUUUAAUACUGGUAGUCUUGAGUUCGAGAGAGGUGAGUGGAAUUCCGAGUGUAGAGGUGAAAUUCGUAGAUAUUCGGAGGAACACCAGUGGCGAAGGCGGCUCACUGGCUCGAUACUGACGCUGAGGUGCGAAAGCGUGGGGAGCA